GGAGACGAUUUGGGUAUGCCUAUACAUGCAAGUCGAGCGGACAGAAGGGAGCUUGCUCCCGGAUGUUAGCGGCGGACGGGUGAGUAACACGUGGGUAACCUGCCUGUAAGACUGGGAUAACUCCGGGAAACCGGAGCUAAUACCGGAUAGUUCCUUGAACCGCAUGGUUCAAGGAUGAAAGACGGUUUCGGCUGUCACUUACAGAUGGACCCGCGGCGCAUUAGCUAGUUGGUGAGGUAACGGCUCACCAAGGCGACGAUGCGUAGCCGACCUGAGAGGGUGAUCGGCCACACUGGGACUGAGACACGGCCCAGACUCCUACGGGAGGCAGCAGUAGGGAAUCUUCCGCAAUGGACGAAAGUCUGACGGAGCAACGCCGCGUGAGUGAUGAAGGUUUUCGGAUCGUAAAGCUCUGUUGUUAGGGAAGAACAAGUGCAAGAGUAACUGCUUGCACCUUGACGGUACCUAACCAGAAAGCCACGGCUAACUACGUGCCAGCAGCCGCGGUAAUACGUAGGUGGCAAGCGUUGUCCGGAAUUAUUGGGCGUAAAGGGCUCGCAGGCGGUUUCUUAAGUCUGAUGUGAAAGCCCCCGGCUCAACCGGGGAGGGUCAUUGGAAACUGGGAAACUUGAGUGCAGAAGAGGAGAGUGGAAUUCCACGUGUAGCGGUGAAAUGCGUAGAGAUGUGGAGGAACACCAGUGGCGAAGGCGACUCUCUGGUCUGUAACUGACGCUGAGGAGCGAAAGCGUGGGGAGCGAACAGGAUUAGAUACCCUGGUAGUCCACGCCGUAAACGAUGAGUGCUAAGUGUUAGGGGGGUUUCCGCCCCUUAGUGCUGCAGCUAACGCAUUAAAGCACUCCGCCUGGGGAGUACGGUCGCAAGACUGAAACUCAAAGGAAUUGACGGGGGGCCCGCACAAGCGGUGGAGCAUGUGGUUUUAAUUCGUAGCACGCGAAGAACCUUACCAGGUCUUGACAUCUUCUGACACCCUAGGAGAUAGGGCUUCCCUUCGGGGACAGAGUGGAACAGGUUGGUGCAUGGGUUGUCGUCAGCCUCCGUGUCGGUGAGAUGGUGGGGUAAGUCCCCGCAACGAGGCGGCCAACCUUGAAUCUAAGUUGCCAGGCAAUUCAAGUUGGGGAACUCUUAAGGGGACUGCGGGUGACAAUCCGGAGGGAGGGGGAUGACGUCAAUCAUUAUGGGCCUUAGACUGCUUACACGGGUCUACAUGGACAGACACAGGGGUCGCAGAACACGCU
rnacentral:rRNA from 1 species